AUGCUUGGUUGUCGACCUGCAGCUACACCUAUUGAGCAAAAUCAUCGUUUAAGUAGUGAUGCAGGUACACUCGUGGAUCGAGAGCGCUAUCAGAGACUUGUUGGAAGGUUAAUAUAUUUAUCUCAUACCCGUCCAGAUAUUGCUUUUGCUGUGAGUGUAGUUAGCCAGUAUAUGCAUGACCCAAAAUCAGCUCAUAUGGAAGCUGUAAACAGGAUCCUAAGGUAUCUUAAAGGGUGCCCAGGAAGAGGCCUUUUAUAUACCAGACAAGGAGACUUACAAGUUGAGUGCUAUACUGACGCUGAUUGGGCUGGUUCUCUAGAUGACCGACGCUCAACAUCUGGUUAUUGUGCAUUUGUAGGAGGAAACCUAGUUUCUUGGCGAAGUAAAAAGCAAGGUGUAGUGGCUCGAUCUACUGCAGAGGCUGAGUUUAGAUCUAUGGCUCACGGCAUAUGUGAGUUACUAUGGAUACAUAUCCUCCUAGCAGAGCUGCGGCUGUACAGGUGCAAGCAUCUGAUGUUGUACUGUGACAACAAAGCUGCCAUUGACAUUGCAAAUAAUCCUGUUCAGCAUGAUCGAACCAAGCACAUAGAAAUUGAUCGUCAUUUUAUUAAGGAGAAGCUUGAUAGAGGGAUAGUUUGGCUACCGUAUGUAACCUCAGCUAGUCAGGUAGCAGAUGUCCUUACAAAAGGACUCCCCGAAAAAACAUUCUCCAUGUUUUGUAGCAAGAUGGGUUUGUAUGAUGUAUUUGCCCCAUCUUGA
rnacentral:rRNA from 1 species